UAAACAGGGAGACAAUUAGACAGGACAGACACGUGAAUACAAAUCGUGAACAAAAACACGGGAGAAGACAGGAGACAACUGCCAGAACAGACAAUUAAAUCCCUUUCCAAGAAACACUGGGCAGAAGGUAGCACUAAGCCUGGAUGUACAGAACUUGAAAAAACUCUCCAAAUUAAACUGAUCGAGAUGGAGAAAGAUGGCACACAAUGGCAAAUAAAACGUCCUCACAUCCCAAACUCGAAGUACAGUGAGCAGCUAGGGGCCGACUGAGAAGGCUUCAAAGAAAAAGGUUGACAAUAAAAAGGGAGGGGCUUCCAAAUACAAGCACCAGGAGGAGGGUCAUGACAGACUUUCAAAGACUAAGAUGCUACGUUGAAGUGGCCGGCAGCCAGCCGAAGCUCAUGGAGCUGAGAAGAGCAAAAAGAUAUUUUUUUUUUCUGUUCAGUUUUUUGUCUUGUUUUUGUUCUUGUACUAUUUGAUUGUUCUUGUAAAUACAUAAUGUACAGUACAUUUCUAUAUUUUGGACUUUUAUUUAUGGCGCU